AUUGAACGCUGGCGGAAUGCUUUACACAUGCAAGUCGAACGGCAGCACGGACUUCGGUCUGGUGGCGAGUGGCGAACGGGUGAGUAAUGUAUCGGAACGUGCCCAGUCGUGGGGGAUAACGUAGUGAAAAUUACGCUAAUACCGCAUACGAUCUAUGGAUGAAAGCGGGGGAUCGCAAGACCUCGCGCGAUUUGAUCGGCCUAUAUCAGAUUAGGUAGUUGGUGGGGUAAAGGCCCACCAAGCCAACGAUCUGUAGCUGGUCUGAGAGGACGACCAGCCACACUGGAACUGAGACACGGUCCAGACUCCUACGGGAGGCAGCAGUGGGGAAUUUUGGACAAUGGGCGAAAGCCUGAUCCAGCCAUUCCGCGUGCAGGAUGAAGGCCCUCGGGUUGUAAACUGCUUUUGUACAGAACGAAAAGGUUUCUACUAAUACUAGGAGCUCAUGACGGUACUGUAAGAAUAAGCACCGGCUAACUACGUGCCAGCCGCCGCCGUAA
rnacentral:rRNA from 1 species